UACGGAGGGUGCAAGCGUUAUCCGGAUUCACUGGGUUUAAAGGGUGCGUAGGCGGGCAGGUAAGUCCGUGGUGAAAUCUCUGAGCUUAACUCAGAAACUGCCAUGGAUACUAUCUGUCUUGGAAUGUUGGUGAGGUAAGCGGAAUAUGUCAUGUAGCGGUGAAAUGCUAGUAUAUGACAUGAGAACACCCAUGCGAAGGCAGCUUACUACACAAUUAUUGACGCUGAGGCACGAAAGCGUGGGGAGUCAAACAGGAAUUAGAACUACC
rnacentral:rRNA from 1 species